rnacentral:rRNA from 1 species
UACGUAGGGGGCAAGCGUUGUCCGGAUUUAUUGGGCGUAAAGAGCGUGUAGGCGGCCAUGUAGGUCCGUUGUGAAAACUCGAGGCUCAACCUCGAGACGCCGAUGGAAACCAUGUGGCUAGAGUCCGGAAGAGGAGAGUGGAAUUCCAGGUGUAGCGGUGAAAUGCGUAGAUAUCUGGAGGAACACCGGUGGCGAAGGCGGCAUCCUGGACCGGUAUUGACGCUGAGGCGCGAAAGCUAGGGGAGCAAACGGG